AGAGAAUCUGACAAUUCACCCAGAGAAUCUGACAAUUCACUGGGAGAGCCAAUGACUCUCUGCAGUCACCCAGAGAAUCUGACAAGUAAUGCAGAGAAUCUGCCCAUUCACUCAGAGGAUCUAAAAAUUCACGCAGAGAAUCUGACAAUUCACCCAUGGAAUCUGCCCAUAAUGCUGCUUUCUCUUUCAAGGGCAAUACAUUGGGUGCAUAGAAGUGUAAUACAUUUUAAUGAGGGGCUCAUUGUAUGCCAGGUCUGCAAGGGUUAAAGGGAGAAGCCGGUACACCGGGUAACCAUGGACUGGCAGGUUCUCCAGGACAACCUGGACCAUCAGGAGAAAAAGGAUCCAGCGGCAGAAAUGGUAAGAA
rnacentral:lncRNA from 1 species